rnacentral:lncRNA from 1 species
ACUUUCGCUCUCGCCGCUAAGUACUUACGCCGCCUCGGCGGUCUCGUCGUCCUCAAUCUUGGGCGCGAGGUAGUAGCGCACGUAGCCCAUGUCCGCGAUGAGGUACUGCACCACCACGGGGAGCUCCUUGGACAUCUGCAGCUGCACGGUGGGCGCCAGCGGGGUAGCCUUGGUGAACGAGUUGAGGUAGCGGAGCGCAAAGGUGAGCGUCACCGGCUCCUGGAGCUCGAUGAUGGUCUGCUCCUCCUUGUCGACGGAGGUGUUCUGCCUGCAGGUGAUGUUCGCCUGGCCGAUGUCGCCGGUGGUGCUGAACUUGACGCCGUCCUUGGACACGGAGAUGGU